AAGUCGUAACAAGGUUUCCGUAGGUGAACCUGCGGAAGGAUCAUUACCAAAAAAUCCAAUACCAACCCCUUUUUGUGAAUCUUUUGAAUGUACUUGGGAGAGAUAUUGAAUAUUUGGAUCUUUUUCUUCUUCUUCUUUCUCUCCCAUGUUUAUUAACCUUAAAACACCUUUAAUUGGGUUAAAACUCUUUUUUAUAGCAUAUUUUUUAAAUAAAAAAAAAUAAAAUUAAAAGUUAAAACAACUUUUAACGGUGGAUCUCUUGGCUCGU
rnacentral:misc_RNA from 1 species